GAGCCCGUGUGCCGACUAAAACGGGCUUAGGGCCCAUGGACAGUGCACUCUCCUCCAGGCAUCGUUAUUCCCGACUUCACCGUUCACCCUCCACCACCGCUCCAUCGCCGGAGUCGAGCAAGGAGAAUAGGCGACGAUAGGUCUCCUCGGCAGGGUGGAAGGGCUAAAAGGUUGCUCUAUAAGGAAGAGGUUUGUUGCACCACUCUCAAAGUUACAGUGAGUUCGGGACUGUCAAAUGAGGUAGAACAUAUAGGAUAUGGCUAAAGUCCUCAUCUUGGCAAUAUGAUCUGAGCUUUUAAUCUCCCUUUUGAAGACCCAUAACAACCAACUUAUAUAGGGCUAUGCUGAUUGGGCAAUUGAAGAAGAGGUGUGAGACUUACCCUCUUCCACUCAAGGCGGUCUCGAUCAAAUGGAAUUCAAAUUCAAGAACAAAGUGAACUCAUGUAGAGGAACGAGCAAAGCCAUGAACGUUUGUGUUAUCGGGUUUCACCUUUCCUUUAAGUCAGUCCUGUCAGUCCGAACCUUGAAUGGGAGCUACAUAAUUUGAGUGAAAAAGAUCGGACUGGAACAAAGAGACAGUGGCACUUGAAUCCAGACCCUAUUGAGCUGAGGCCCACAUCGUUAUUACUCGUACCAUGCUUUCCAUAAUAUUUUAUAUGAACUUAAUUGCCAAAUCAAAUAGUGAUAUAUUAAUUGUGCCAA